CGAUGAAGCCCAGCUUGCUGGGUGGAUUAGUGGCGAACGGGUGAGUAACACGUGAGUAACCUGCCCCUGACUCUGGGAUAAGCCCGGGAAACUGGGUCUAAUACCGGAUAUGACCAUGGGACGCAUGUCUUGUGGUGGAAAGAUUUAUCGGUUGGGGAUGGACUCGCGGCCUAUCAGCUUGUUGGUGAGGUAAUGGCUCACCAAGGCGACGACGGGUAGCCGGCCUGAGAGGGUGACCGGCCACACUGGGACUGAGACACGGCCCAGACUCCUACGGGAGGCAGCAGUGGGGAAUAUUGCACAAUGGGCGCAAGCCUGAUGCAGCGACGCCGCGUGAGGGAUGACGGCCUUCGGGUUGUAAACCUCUUUCAGUAGGGAAGAAGCGAGAGUGACGGUACCUGCAGAAGAAGCGCCGGCUAACUACGUGCCAGCAGCCGCGGUAAUACGUAGGGCGCAAGCGUUAUCCGGAUUUAUUGGGCGUAAAGAGCUCGUAGGCGGUUUGUCGCGUCUGCCGUGAAAGUCCGAGGCUCAACCUCGGAUCUGCGGUGGGUACGGGCAGACUAGAGUGAUGUAGGGGAGACUGGAAUUCCUGGUGUAGCGGUGAAAUGCGCAGAUAUCAGGAGGAACACCGAUGGCGAAGGCAGGUCUCUGGGCAUUUACUGACGCUGAGGAGCGAAAGCAUGGGGAGCGAACAGGAUUAGAUACCCUGGUAGUCCAUGCCGUAAACGUUGGGCACUAGGUGUGGGGGACAUUCCACGUUUUCCGCGCCGUAGCUAACGCAUUAAGUGCCCCGCCUGGGGAGUACGGCCGCAAGGCUAAAACUCAAAGGAAUUGACGGGGGCCCGCACAAGCGGCGGAGCAUGCGGAUUAAUUCGAUGCAACGCGAAGAACCUUACCAAGGCUUGACAUGUUCCAGACCGCCUC
rnacentral:rRNA from 1 species